UAUAUUUGCCGAUCGUUAAUUAAGCUUAUACAUAAAAAUCAUUAAAAUUAAUAUUGGCAUG
ncrna:unclassified sequences S15-Flavobacteria ribosomal protein leader